rnacentral:rRNA from 1 species
GACACACGGCGGGUGCUAACGUCCGUCGUGAAGAGGGAAACAACCCAGACCGCCAGCUAAGGUCCCAAAGUCAUGGUUAAGUGGGAAACGAUGUGGGAAGGCCCAGACAGCCAGGAUGUUGGCUUAGAAGCAGCCAUCAUUUAAAGAAAGCGUAAUAGCUCACUGGUCGAGUCGGCCUGCGCGGAAGAUGUAACGGGGCUAAACCAUGCACCGAAGCUGCGGCAGCGACACUCAGGUGUUGUUGGGUAGGGGAGCGUUCUGUAAGCCUGCGAAGGUGGCCUGUGAGGGUUGCUGGAGGUAUCAGAAGUGCGAAUGCUGACAUAAGUAACGAUAAAGCGGGUGAAAAGCCCGCUCGCCGGAAGACCAAGGGUUCCUGUCCAACGUUAAUCGGGGCAGGGUGAGUCGACCCCUAAGGCGAGGCCGAAAGGCGUAGUCGAUGGGAAACGGGUUAAUAUUCCCGUACUUGGUGUUACUGCGAAGGGGGGACGGAGAAGGCUAUGUUGGCCGGGCGACGGUUGUCCCGGUUUAAGCGUGUAGGUGUGUGUUCCAGGUAAAUCCGGUUCACUUUAACACUGAGGCGUGACGACGAGGCACUACGGUGCUGAAGCAACAAAUGCCCUGCUUCCAGGAAAAGCCUCUAAGCAUCAGGUAACAUCAAAUCGUACCCCAAACCGACACAGGUGGUCAGGUAGAGAAUACCAAGGCGCUUGAGAGAACUCGGGUGAAGGAACUAGGCAAAAUGGUGCCGUAACUUCGGGAGAAGGCACGCUGACACGUAGGUGAAGUGAUUUACUCACGGAGCUGAAGUCAGUCGAAGAUACCAGCUGGCUGCAACUGUUUAUUAAAAACACAGCACUGUGCAAACACGAAAGUGGACGUAUACGGUGUGACGCCUGCCCGGUGCCGGAAGGUUAAUUGAUGGGGUCAGCGCAAGCGAAGCUCCUGAUCGAAGCCCCGGUAAACGGCGGCCGUAACUAUAACGGUCCUAAGGUAGCGAAAUUCCUUGUCGGGUAAGUUCCGACCUGCACGAAUGGCGUAAUGAUGGCCAGGCUGUCUCCACCCGAGACUCAGUGAAAUUGAACUCGCUGUGAAGAUGCAGUGUACCCGCGGCAAGACGGAAAGACCCCGUGAACCUUUACUAUAGCUUGACACUGAACAUUGAGCCUUGAUGUGUAGGAUAGGUGGGAGGCUUUGAAGUGUGG